rnacentral:lncRNA from 1 species
GAGUACUUUAGUAUCAGUUUUGUGAUCAUCUUAAUGAUUAAGAAACCAUAGCACAAUUAGUUCUCUAAGGAAAUCUUAGUGCAUUCUUAUGACUAAGAAGAGGGAUCUUGAAUUGUUGAAAUGGUUAAAUCAAGAAGAUGAGUCAUACUUCAUUCCAAUACAAGUCUUAGAGUCAUACUCCAAGAUUGUAAUUUGAGUGACAUGUCUUAAAGAAGGUUUAAAACACUUGUCAAAUGUAAGAGUAAAAGUUUCCUACUCUUGUACAUUUGAAAUUGGUAAGUUGUGAUGUUUUGGAUAAAACAAAGACCAACUAAGGCCAAUUAUGUGAAGUGUUUGUCUUGAUUAGAAUUUGCACUAUCUCCUGGAUGUUUGACAAGGGAGUCUUAUAGGUCAAGAGGAUAGUGGGAGUCUUAAAGGUCUUGAAAGUCUCAAGAACUAAUCAAGAAUAAAACCUGAAGUUCUUCACUAGCACACGACUUGAGGUUUAUAACCUAUCAUGUUGACAUAUUCUGUGCCCAUUCCAGUUAAAGUUGGCUUUGCAUAUGAGUUUUUAGAGUUCUCAAUUGGUUGGAGAAGAAGGAAAAGAUGAGAAGAAGAGAGCAUCUUGUAGAGAGAGAAAGUUAGAGAGAAGAAGUGUGUGUGUGAGAGAGAAUCUAUUGUAAGGAGCAUAAUUCAUAUUGAAUACAUCAUAGAUUCAUCUUCUUCUUCUUCUCCUUCUCUUAUAUAUUGAUUUGACAUCAUCCAAUUGAUUGGGAUUCCGCACCAUCAAUUGGAUCUGAUUGAUACACAAGCAAUUUUGGUAUCAGAGCUUGGUUGUAUCAAUCAUUUUUUUCAGAUCUAGAGCUUAUUUGAUCUUAUUUUGAAAAGACAAAUUUUUGUUUUAGGAUAGUUUAAAUUUGCGCAUUUACUUUCGUUUCUCUCCUAUGCACAAAUUUAGGGGGAGAAAUAAAAACAAAACAAAAAUUAAAAAAUUAAAAAAAAAAGAAAAUCAAAAUAAUAAUGUGUCGGUUAUGGAAUGUGCUUGAGGGAGAUGUUUUGGGAAGUGAUAUGAUUAUGUGAUAACAUGCAACCUAAGUCUGCGUAACGUACCCAAAAUUGAAGGGUCUAUGCUCUGGUUUGAUGCGUCAGUAGGCUCGAAGAAUUUAACAGACUUGACUAGGUGCAGAUGAACUUAAGGAAUCCAUAGACUUGAUAAAUCUUGACCUAGUUAGUUCCGUUCAGCCUGACAAUACGACGCUUGGAUAGGUUUAGCAGGGAGAUAUAUAUGGGAAUCUACUCGUCACAUUAAAUGAACCUGUAUCUGGAACCGUGGUUUAAGCUUUUCCUCGAUGUGUGGAUUCUGUCCUUAAUUCCGGUAUUGAUGGGGCGACUGGUAAAUUCCGAUGAAUUAGCUCUGUAGAAAAUCAUUUUCUUUCUUUCUUACUGUUAGUCAUAUGUUGCCUCCUCUGCGUGAUUGGAAGAGAUCUGACCUGGACUGCAACAUAUGCAAAUCUAUUUCUCUGCAUAUUAUAUCUAUGAAAUUCUUCUUAUCUGUUAGCCAUACGUUGUCUCUUUUGCAUGAUUAACAAUCCGACCUGGUACACAGCAUAUGCAACCUUCUACUUCUCAAUCCCUCUAAANGCAUAUGCACUAUAAGUGAUAAUACUCUGAAUCUAUCUUCUCCCCUAAUGAUGGUCUGCUCAUCCGAUGUAAGGAGUACUCUGGAAGUCCUUGAUUACCGGGGCAUAUCUGGAAGCGGGAAACAUGUUCCAGUACAAUUAAAAUUGAACACUCAAAGAUUGUCUAUAGAUCUCGCUGCUCAAUUUAGGUGGACAACAAUAUCCCUGGUCGUCGUCAGCUGAACGGUCCUUAAGAUAUAGUAUCUAGAAACUUAGGAUCAGAUAUAAUAUCUAGGAACUUAGGAUCACAUUGUCUUGUCACUUAUAGUAUGUCCUAAUUUUGUCACAAAUUUUUCGUGUUUAACUGGACAACAAUACCGGCGAUCGACCAGAAAAAGACGUGAAGAUAGAAGGUACCGACAAGCGGAUAAAGGUUGUCUAAAAACUUUGAUCCCAAAUCAUUCUUAAAGUUAGAUAUUAUUUUAUUUUUGUUAAAUUUGUUCAUAGUUUUCCUCUAUGCAUAAAUUUUAGGGGGAGAAUUAAAAAUAAUUCAAAAAUCAAACAAAAAUCAGAAAAUUAAAAAUCCAAAAAUAGUGUUAUUUCUUGUUCAGAAAAAUCAGAAAAUCCAAAAAUAUUUUAUUUUGUGUGUUAAUUUUUCUUUUAGUUUUAUUUUGUCUUGAAAAGUGAUUUCAGGUAUAGAUAAGACUCAUGAAGUUUGUGUUGAAGAUUUCUGAGCCAAUGCUUCAUCUGUGAUCAUCGAAGAAUUCACAUUCGAAGGAACAAGAAAUGAAGAUUAUCCUUUCAACAUUUAAUUUGUGAACCCCAGAAGCAAGGUGAAGCUGAAAUUGAAGAUUAUGUGACGGAUUGCAUUGAAGCCUCCUCAAUCAGUCUGCUGCUAUCUUAAAGCUGCUGAAGUGAUCCAGAAGAUUCGUUCUCUCUGUUCUCUCUGAAAAUUCUCAAGCUGAAAGCGCUAUCUUUUAAGAAUCAGUACAUCAAGCCUCCUCACCCAACAUGCGUUCAAUGUCAAAUUUUGAAGAAAAACCCAACCGCUCAAGAUGAAUUCAUGUAUUGAAGAUUCAUAUGUUCAUCUUCAUGCUGUGAAGAAAUUUGAAGAUUAAUGCUAAAGCCAAGCUCCAAAUGAAGAUUAACAAGUAAAAGCAGCUACUUUUUAGGGGAGUUUGUUGGGCCAAUUAGAAAAGAAAGCUAUAAACCAAGGGGGAGAUUGUUGGCUCAAAAAUAUGGUUUAUACUUUGCUUUUCUAGGAAAAUAUAUUUUUAUGUAAUAUUGUAUGUGUGUGCGGCUGUACACAUGUGUAUGGCUGGAGGUCCAUAUAAAUAAAGGAGUGCAUGUGAGUGUACGGUUGGAGAAAAAGAAAGGAAAAGAAGGCUAGAGUUGGAAAAGAAAGCUAGAGAGAAGAAGUGUGAGUGAGAGAGAAUCUAUUGUAAGGAACAUAACUCAUAUCAUUAAUACAUCAUAGAUUCAUCUUCUUCUUCUUUUCAUUCUCUUAUAUAUUGAUAUGAAAUCAUCCAAUUCAUUGGGAUUCCGCACCAUCAAUUGGAUUUGAUUGAUACACAAGCAAUUUUGGGGACUUAUAAUUGGUAUUAGAGCUUGGUUGUAUCAAUCAAUUUUUUCAGAUCUGGAGCAUAUUUGAUCGUAUUUUGAAAAGAGAAUAUCGUUUUUGGACAGAUCUCGCAAAAAUAAGGGGGGUUACUUCUUUGCAUUUUUCAUAAAAACGAGUUUUUGAGCAAAAAAGGGUGAAAAACGUCGUUUUUUUCGCAAAUCUGUUGAAGGAGUGCGGCCACUUGAAGGUGUGCGGCUCAGCAGCCUCGGUGUGUGCGGCUCGGUGUGCGGCCCCAGAUUACGGCUCGGUGUGCGGCCCCAGAUUACGGCUCGGAGUGUGCGCCUCUGUGUGCGGUCUCGUGUNCGGCUCAGCAGAAUCGGUCUCGGCUUCACGGCUUCGUCCUCGCUUCGCAGCUCUAGUCCUCGCAAGCAGCAACCUCGCAUAGCAGCCCUUUCAUAAAAAAAGGGAAACGAAGUUGAGGUGCCAGGAAUCGAACCGUGGACCUCCUGGUCAUUAACAAGCGCGCCUUAACCAACUCGUCUAGGAGGAUCUUUGUAUCAUUCUUCCGAAAUUUGAAAUAUAACUCGUGCUUUUCGAACCUAAUUUCGCAUUUUUAACAAAAUCAACCCAAAAAUCAAUUUUCUUUAUUUUUAAAAUCCUUUUUCAACCCAAAAAUUUUAGUUUUUAAAUUUUAACUUUUAUUUUUGAAUUUUUAGUUAGAAUUUUAACUUUGACUUUUAAAAGUUGAUGCUUGACUUUAAAUUUUGACUUUCUCGUUUGACUUUUAAAUUUUCAAAUUUGGCUUUUCUAUUUGACUUUUCAAGUUUGACUUUUAAAUUUGACUGUUUAAAUUUGACUUUUAAGGUUGACUUUCUCGGUUUUUAAGUCAAAGGACAAUUAGAAAUAUAAAAAUAUAUAAUUUUUUUUUAAAAAAAAAUGAGUUCCACAUCAAUUCCGGUAAAUGAAGUUUCAUGUACUCCAUCUUGUAAAGCUACAAUAAAAUUUCUUCGCGAACAAAUUGAUUUGCUAAAAAGGGAAAAUGAGGACCUUAAAUAUGAAGGCUAUACUCUAAGGAAAGGUCAGAAACCUUUAAAAGCACAAUUAGAGGCCAAGACUAAGGACUUUAGGAAAUUACAAGAAGAUUACAACAACAAGUGUGAAAAUUAUGAUCACAUUAAACGCAAACUUGCUGCUGUAACUGAAGAACUUGAUGCUUUGAAAAUAAAGUGUGGAAAAACAGAUGUUAGUUUCAAAAAUUAUUCUGCAUCAAGUAAUACUGUCGAGUCCUUAGUAGAAAAGCAAUUGAGUUUUAAAGACAAUCAAACCAACGGUCUAGGGUAUCACAGUGUGCCCCCUCCUUUUAAUCAUAACUAUAACCCACCCCUUGAGACCAAUGAGGAAGAAAUGCCUGCUCAGUAUGGCCAAACCCCUGCUCUAGAUUCUGUUAAGACUGAACAAUCAGGGCCAACUGAGGGUGCUAAGCUGAACGAUACUAAUGAUUCUACUUCUUGUGCAGGUAAAGUAGUAGAGGAUGAGAACAAGGAGAAAACUAUUGAACACACCAAUGACUCCUUGAACUCUGAAUCUGUUGCUUCGAACUCAACUGCUUCUGAUCAACCUGUUGUUGAGAAGUACAGGCCACCAUUUCAAGUGAAACGGUCGACCUGUUGCAACUGUGCGUGUGGGAACAAUCAGAAACAAGGCAAAGACACGCCACCAGGGGCAGGAAGAAACAACUCCACAGUGAAGAAAAAGACAUGUUUUCACUGUGGAACACCUAGACACAUUGCCAGAAAUUGUCCGAAUCGAGCAUACAUUCCCUACUACGCACAAGGGUGGCAGAACACGCCAAGAUGGAGAUACUUCAAAAGAAACCCCUCAAGGUCAUGUUCAGACAAUGACGAUUGGAAUGCCACGGAGGACAAGAGUUCAACUCCCAAGGCCAAGAAAUCAAAUCCUAAGGUCAAGAAGGGAAUGUCGGCCAAGAAGCCAAAUCCAAGAGAUGCUCCCAUGAAGUCAAAAUCAAAGUCAUCUCAACGGCCGACAUCUAGAUCAAAAACAAGUACUGAGCCACCCAUCAGAUCGAAAAAGAAAUGGGUUAAACCCAACUACAAAUGGGUUCCAAAGGCUCACUCUCCUAAAUCUUCUAACGCUUCUAAUAUUUUUACAUCAUAUGUUUGUGAUAAACAAGAUAUGUCAUGGGAGAGAGUACCGUGCAAGGAUGACAAAGGNAAAGGUCGACCCAGUUUCAAAAUGGACUGGGUUCCAAAGACCAACUGAUCCCGCUCUGUGUCGGAGCAGCUAUGGAGGCAUAUCAUCAGACUUCGGUUUGUUGGUAGUGGCUGUUUCAGGCACAUGAUAGGAGGCACCUCUCAACUAUACAACACUCAGAACAUUGUUUGAGAGUAUGUGUCCUUGUGGGAAGGGAAGAAAGGAAAUGAUCACUCAUGGGGUUUGUGCAUAACGACAUGAAGAAUUUUCGGAUCUGUUUUGAGAUUACGCGUGCUGUUCUCAGACCUUCUUGAUGUAAAUUCAAUCGGUAACUUACGGUUUGAGUUUUCUUCUCUAUACUCCUGAGUUUUUCUUAAGCUGAUUCGCUUUAAAGACUAAUUUUUGUUUUAGGAUAGUUUAAAUUUGCGCAUUUACUUUCGUUUCUCUCCUAUGCACAAAUUUAGGGGGAGAAAUAAAAACAAAACAAAAAUUAGAAAAUUUUAAAAAAUCCAAAAACAUUAGAAAAUCAGAAAAUAAAAAAUAUGUUGGUUAUGAAAUGUGCUUGAGGGAGAUGUUUUGGGAAGUGAUAUUAUCAAGUGAUAACAGGCAACCUGAGUCUGCGUAACGUACCCGAAGUUGAAGGGUCUAUGCUCUGGUUUGAUGCGUCGGUAGGCACGAAAAAUUUUAAAUGGACUUGACUAGGGAGAGUUGAACUUAGGAAAUUUAUAGACUUGACAAAUCUUGACCUAGUUAGAUCCGUUCAGCCUGACAAUACGACGCUCGGAUAGGUUGAGCAGGGAGAUAUAUAUGGGAAUCUACUCGUCACAUUAAAUGAACCCGUACUUGGAACCGUGGUUUAACUUUUCCUCGAUGUGCGGAUUCUGUCCUUAAUUCCGGUUGGAUGGGGCGACUGGUAAAUUCCGAUAAAUUAGGUCUGUAGAAUGUCAUUUUCUUUCUUUCCGUCUGUUAGUCAUAUGUUGUCUCCUUUGCGUGACUUCCAAUCCAACCUGGUACACAACAUAUGCAACUCUAUUUCUCUGCAAGUUAUAUAUGUGAAAGACUUCUUAUCUGUUAGCCAUAUUCUGUCUCUUCUGCGCGACUUCUAAUCCUACCUGGUACACAGCAUAUGCAACCUUCUACUUCUCAACCCCUCUGAAGAAAUAAAUAAUAAGUAAUAGAAUUCUAAAUCUAUCCUCUCUCUGAAUGGUUGUCUGCUCACCUGGUGUAAGGAGUACUCUGGAAGUUCUUGAUUACCGGGGCAUAUCAGGAAACGGGAAACACGUUCUAGUACACUAAAAAUUGAACACAUACAGAUUGUCUAUAGAUCUCGCUGCUCAAUUUAGGUGGACAACAAUAUCCCUGGUCGUCGUCAGCUAAUGGUCCUUAAGAUAUAGUAAGAUAUAGUAUCUAGAAACUUAGGAUCGGAUAUAAUAUCUAGGAACUUAGGAUCACAUUGUCUUGUCACUUAUAGUAUGUCCUAAUUUUGUCACAAUUUUUUGUGUUUAAGUGGACAACAAUACCGACAAUCGACCAGACAAAGAUGUGAAGAUAAAAGGUACCGACAAGCGGAUAAAGGUUGUCUAAAAACUUUGAUCCCAAAUCAUUCUUAAAGAUUAGAUAUCAUUUUACUUUUGUUAAAUUUGUUCAUAGUUUUUCUCUAUGCACAAAUUUUAGGGGGAGAAUCAAAAAUAAUUCAAAAAUCAAUCAAAAAUCAGAAAAUUAAAAUCCAAAAAUAGUGUUAUUUCUUGUUCAGAAAAAUCAGAAAAUCCAAAAAUAUUUUUGUUUCUAUUUUUAUUUUUAUUUUGUGUGUUAAUUUUUCUUUUAGUUUUGUUUUGUCUUGAAAAGAGAUUUCAGGUAUAGAAAAGAGUCAUGAAGUUUGUGUUGAAGAUUUCUGAGUCAAGGCUUCAUCUGUGAGCAUCGAAGAAUUUGCAUUCGGAGGAGCAAGAAAUGAAGAUUAUUCUUUAAACAUUCAAUCUAUCAACCCCAGAAGCAUGGUGAAGAUGUACUUGAAGAUUAUGCCACAUAUUGCAUUGAAGCCUCCUCGAUCAAUCUGUUGUUAUCUAUGAACCUGCUUAAGUGAUCCAGAAGAUUUGUUCUCUCUAUUCUCUCUGAAGAUUCUCAUGCUGAAAGCGCUAUCUUUCAAGAAUCAGUACAACAAGCCUCCUCACCCAAUGUGCGUUCAAUGUCAAAUUCUUCAAGAAAUGCCCAACUACUCAAGAUGAAGUCAUUCAUAGAAGAUUCAUAUGUUCAUCUUGAUGCUGUGAAGAAAUCUGAAGAUUAAUGCUGAAGCCAAGCUCCCAACGAAGAUUAACAAGAAAAGCCAACUACUUUUUAGGGGGGGCUUAUUAGGCCAGUUAGAAAAGAAAGCUAUAAACCAAGGGGGAGAUUGUUGGGUCAAAAUAUGGUUUAUACUUUGCUUUUCUUGGAAAAUAUAUUUUUAUGUAAUGUUGUAUGUGUUUGCGGUUUGUGUGUACGGCCCUACACGUGUGUACGGCCGUACACUGGGUGUGUGGCUGUACACAUGUGUAUAGCUGGAGGUCCAUAUAAAUAGAGUGUGCAUGUGGGAGUGUACGGUUGGAGGGGAGGAGAGCAUCUUGUAGAGAGUGAAAGUUAGAGAGAAGAGGUGUGUGAGAGAAUCUAUUGUAAGGAGCAUAAUUCAUAUUGAAUACAUCAUAGAUUCAUCAUCUUCUUCUUCUCAUUCUCUUCUAUAUUGAUCUGACAUCAUCCAAUUGAUUGGGAUUCCACACCAUCAAUUGGAUAUGAUUGAUACACAAGCAAUUUUGGGGACUUACACACAACAACUUGGAAUCAAUGGCAGACCCUUGAGCCGCCAGGUGGCAAGAAAUUAAGAUUGAGUUCAAUCCAUAUGGUUUUGGAUUUGUCAUUAUCUGUGUCUUGUGAUUAAGGGUUUGACAAAUUCAUAUGGGUAGGAACUCAUACACCAUAAAAAUCUAAGUGUCAUAAGGUUUCUCUCCGAUUCAUGAAAAUGAUGGUGAGGAAACACUUUCACUAAGUAGAUUUUAGCUAGAUAGCAAUUGCGAUAUUUGCAUUCUCAAAGUCGUUAGUGGAGCGUGUGUGGUUUACCGGCACACUAACCUGGACUUGUGAGAAGUGGCAAAAAGGUCUAACCAUUAUGAUUACGGCAUCCCUCUUCAUAAUUGUUUAGACACACAAGUGUGCUAUCUAAGG